GAGACCAGGUGCCAAUAAUGAAGACUUUCCUGUUUCUUGCUUUAUUGUUGUGUAUCUGGGGAACUGCCCAAGUUGAGGCACGUGGCCUCCCUGAAGUGAAUGAUGACGCUCCAAUUCGAAUCGCUCGAUCAGCUGCAGGCCUUUUAACGAAGAGAGGGGGAUGUUGUGACUAUAGAUGUCGACCCGUGCCGUGCAGUUGCUGUUAUGCAUGAUGUCUUCGAAUAUCAAAAAUACAUUUUUUUUUCAUGUAUUUGAUCUGAAUUGAAUAAAGAAUCGAAAUGCAA